CAGGUCCAUUUUCGUUAGUAGAUGCGUUAAGACAACAAUAAGUUUUCAACACUCUCUCUUCAACAUACGCUAGGGUUUAUUUCCGUUAAAAGGGGGAAACGACGACGAACACAAAUACGGAUUCGAAGCUAUAAAUUCUGCUAAUUCGCUAGUUAAUCAAUCGAUUUUGCAUAAUUGUUAGGAGGAUUUGUAUGCGAAUUGGUUGAAUUUGAGCUGUACGGAUCUCUUAUGCAUCAAGCAAGCUGAUGACGGUGUAUACUCAUACAAGAUACUAACGGAUGGAUCCUGAAAGCAAGACGUUUGGAAAAGGGCCAAGAGAACUUACGGGUGCUGUGGAUCUUAUAAGCUACUAUAAAUUAUUGCCUCACCAUGAAUUCUUCUGCAAGAAAUCACUUCCGUUGUCAAUUUCAGAUACACAUUACCUGCAUAACGUUGUUGGAGACUCAGAAAUUAGAAAAGGCGAAGGGAUGCAGUUGGAUCAGCUUAUCCAGAAUACAUCCUACUCAAGGGACACAAAUACGCGCAUACAACCAUUUGACCUCGACAUCCUCAGGGAAGCCUUUCAGUUAAGGGAAUCUGCUCCUGUUGACCUUCCAUCUUCAGAGAAGGGAAUUCCUACUGUAGCCGGAAAAUCUAAAAGUGAAUCGAAGGACAAAGAGAAAAAGCACAAAAAGCACAAGGACAAGGAUAAGGAUAGAGAGCAUAAAAAACAUAAGCAUCGUCAUAAAGAUAAAGAUCGAAGUAAAGAUAAGGAUAAGGAAAAGAAGAAGGAUAAAAGCAGUCAUGACAAGAAAAGGAAGCAUGAUGGAGACGAAGAUCUCAAUGACAUUCACAGGCACAAGAAAAGUAAGCACAAGGGCUCAAAAUUGGAUGAAAUGGGUGCAAUAAAGGUAGCAGCAUGAAAGUGGCAUGUAGUCUGUAUUAUUGUUUGUCCUCGAUGUUGCAAAUUAAAACCCGAGAGGUCCUUAGUGUGGUUAAAACAAUCGAGAACGCUACCUGGACUAACUAAAGAUUACCAAGAUGGUGAAUUCACCUGUUGAAUUAGAUUUAUUUGAAGGUACAAAUUGAGGGAAAACAGACUUUUUUGUAUCAUAGAUGACCUUUAAUCCAAAACUUCAAUCUUUUAUUUCAGUUUUAGUGGAGCCGCAUAAACAAAAUGUUGUGUAUCAAUAUCAGUUUUGUCACGUUUUGGAA